AACGGAAGCAGCUAAUGACGUUGCUAGUGGAAUGCUAAUAAACGGUGUUUAGAAAACCGUCUCUUGAAAAUGUAGACGCUUCUUUAAAACUCUUUUAAAUAACUAAUUUUAGACCACUAAAGUGGGGCCAGGUGAUCCCACCCCGCUAACAAUGACGAGCGGCGGUACACGCCACAAAACAAGCAGCGACAAGUAGCGUGGCUUCGAUCGCUCUUGUCCCCACAAACAAUGCCGGACGGACAAGAGCAAGAAAAGAAUUCUCGCCCCGGGAGAGGAAAAAUCUGUCAUUGGAAGUUUGAAAGAAAAGCAAACCCUGACUCGACCGACAGCUUUGAUGUCACCGGGUCAAUUGAAGCGACUCAACGGGCGGCAGACAGAGGAUGAAAAAAAAGAUGACAAAGAGCUUUGAGCGGAUGAUGCAGGGGGGUGCUGUUAUGUAACGCCUCUUUCUUCUUCCUCCACCUGGAUCUUUGCUUCAUGCACAAUACCGGAUGGCAAAAUUAACACAUUUCCCCCCCUAAGAAAAGUAACAAUCCUAAUUGUUUCACCUUAAAAUAUUAACCUAAUUUUUUUUCCGCAUAAUUAACACUAUCAUUUUUUUCCCCCGAAGAAAAUUAACACUAAGUGUUUUACCUCAUAAUAUUAACAACGUAAAUUUUAUCCCCUAAAAUAGAAUUUGAAAAAACUUUUUUGUUUUUUAAUAAAGUUUUGAGUUGAGUUUUAAUAUUUUUUUUCAUCCCCCAUUUUCUAAUAUGGAACUUCCUCUUAUCAUUGCAGCUCCCUUUCCCAUAAAUAUCUUCAAAUAUUGCUAUAUAGUGGAACCUCAAUUUAACGGACCCCGAUUUAAUGGACUUCAGAUUUAAUGGACAAAAAAUAGUGUCCAGUUGGAACUCAAAGUCACCCCUUUUAUGUACCGGUGACAUACGUUUGGAUAAACUUGCAAACUUUUGAAACACUUUAAAGCUUUUUAAAAUCUAUUUACAACAAUUUUGUACUGUAAUGGUGUUCUGAGGCCACAAAAAUGGGCUUCAAUUUAACUGCCAAUCUGAUUUUUAACGGAUGACCCUUCCUCCCUAUUAGUCCGUGAAAUCGAGGUUCUACUGUAUUUCCUCUAUCCCAAUAAAGAAAUACGAAGCGGUCUUUUAUUCUCCACAUUUGUUAAGUAAAAGUUCACUUGGUGAUGUCAUUCAAUUUCUAUACAGCAUAAAUGCAGCUUUAAUAUUCUAUCCCAUCAGCCCAGCAGGAAACACAAAGGAAGAUUUCAUUCGGGUGAGCGAUCCCUCGCCCCCCACGUCAUCCGCCCGACUCUUUUAUUUUACGAACAUGCUGACCUUUGAACCCUCUAACCUGCUCCUCCCCGGGCCCGCUGGCAGACCGAUAAAAGGACCUGAAAAAAAAACCAAACACACACACAAAAAAAAAAGGAAUUUAAGGAAGGCCUACAAGUGUUCGAGCGGCGGGGGCGGACCAUGUUGCCAUACGUUGGUGUCGGCCUCUCUUAGCGUCGGCGUCACUGAACACACGCACACACACACUGGAAGUGGUCAUUAGUAGUCGUAUAAUUGGAACAAUAAAAGGAUCUUCAGGGGUCGCUGAGUGAGUGGCCUUUCACUCGUCAUCUGUUUGAACGAGUGAGAAUGGGUACGCUUAAUGAGCUAAUUAUGUCCUCAUAAGUGUAGAUUUGGUUUGCUAUUGUUUGAGCUUGAACCCGUCAUUUGGCAAAUAUUGAUAUAUGUACAAAAGGAAGCUGGUCGACCUCCAUUUUGCUUUUAAACUCCUUUUCCUCAUAGGAAAUAGUGGAAAUAAUCGUUCAAACUUUAUUAACUAAAGAGGCAUUGUUUUAAGUUACAGUUUAACACGAUUAACAAUCAUGGAAGGGUUACAAAAGAGCUAAAAAAGUGUGGGACGAUUUUAGAUGUUUGUAUUAUCAUUUAGAAAAAGUUUAAAAAGUUAGUCUUUUGGUGUGUCAGUUGUAGAUGUUUUAUCCUUAACAA